UACAGAGGUCUCAAGCGUUGUUCGGAUUCAUUGGGCGUAAAGGGUGCGUAGGCGGCGCGGUAAGUCGGGUGUGAAAUCUCGGAGCUUAACUCCGAAACUGCAUUCGAUACUGCCGUGCUUGAGGACUGGAGAGGAGACUGGAAUUUACGGUGUAGCGGUGAAAUGCGUAGAUAUCGUAAGGAAGACCAGUGGCGAAGGCGGGUCUCUGGGCCUUACCUGACGCUGAGGAGCGAAAGCAUGGGGAGCAAACAGG
rnacentral:rRNA from 1 species